rnacentral:tRNA from 1 species
UAUCUUAUUAGUAUAUUUAUUACAUCUAAUUUCCACUUAGAAAAUCUAAGGAUAAGAU